rnacentral:rRNA from 1 species
AUGGCUUCUGCUGCGUCCAAGUCCAAGUCCGCGGCCGUCUUGGUCCUCCUCGUCUCCCUUGCCGGCGUGGCCACCACCGUGGACGCCAGGUUCAGGGCCAUGCAGUGGACUCCCGCCCACGCCACGUUCUAUGGCGACGAGGCUACGGCCGAGACGAUGGGCGGGGCGUGCGGGUACGAUAUCACGGCGGGGUACGGCGCGGACACGGCGGCGCUGAGCUCGACGCUGUUCCUGGACGGCUACGGGUGCGGGACGUGCUACCAGAUCCGGUGCGUGAAAGCCACGGCCUGCUACAGGGGCUCGCCGGUGCUCACGGUGACCGCGACCAACCUGUGCCCGCCCAACUGGGCGCAGGACACCAACAACGGCGGCUGGUGCAACCCGCCGCGCACCCACUUCGACCUCGCCAUCCCGGCCUUCAAGAAGAUGGCCGACUGGCAUGCGGGCAUCGUCCCCGUCAUGUACCGCAGGGUGCCGUGCAUGCGCAAGGGCGGGAUCCGGUUCGCGUUCCAGGGGAACCCGCACUGGCUGCUGGUGUACGUCACCAACGUCGGCGGCGCCGGCGACGUCGGGGAGAUGUGGGUGAAGGGCAGCGGCGGCAUGGUGUGGCUGCGCAUGAGCCACAACUGGGGCGCAUCGUACCAGGCGUUCGGGCAGCUCGGCGGCCAGGCGCUCAGCUUCAAGCUCACCUCCUACACCACCGGGCUGACCAUCGUCGCCGCCGACGCCGCGCCGGCGAGCUGGAGCAUCGGGCUCACGUACCAGGCUCGCGCCAACUUCAAAUAG